rnacentral:rRNA from 1 species
GGCUCAGGAUGAACGCUGGCGGCGUGCCUAACACAUGCAAGUCGAGCGAAGCACUUUGCUUAGAUUCUUCGGAUGAAGAGGAUUGUGACUGAGCGGCGGACGGGUGAGUAACGCGUGGGUAACCUGCCUCGUACAGGGGGAUAACAGUUAGAAAUGACUGCUAAUACCGCAUAAGACCACAGCACCGCAUGGUGCAGGGGUAAAAACUCCGGUGGUAUGAGAUGGACCCGCGUCUGAUUAGCUAGUUGGUAAGGUAACGGCUUACCAAGGCGACGAUCAGUAGCCGACCUGAGAGGGUGACCGGCCACAUUGGGACUGAGACACGGCCCAAACUCCUACGGGAGGCAGCAGUGGGGAAUAUUGCACAAUGGGGGAAACCCUGAUGCAGCGACGCCGCGUGAGCGAAGAAGUAUUUCGGUAUGUAAAGCUCUAUCAGCAGGGAAGAGAAUGACGGUACCUGACUAAGAAGCACCGGCUAAAUACGUGCCAGCAGCCGCGGUAAUACGUAUGGUGCAAGUGUUAUCCGGAUUUACUGGGUGUAAAGGGAGCGCAGACGGAUGGGCAAGUCUGAUGUGAAAACCCGGGGCUCAACCCCGGGACUGCAUUGGAAACUGUUCAUCUAGAGUGCUGGAGAGGUAAGUGGAAUUCCUAGUGUAGCGGUGAAAUGCGUAGAUAUUAGGAGGAACACCAGUGGCGAAGGCGGCUUACUGGACAGUAACUGACGUUGAGGCUCGAAAGCGUGGGGAGCAAACAGGAUUAGAUACCCUGGUAGUCCACGCCGUAAACGAUGACUACUAAGUGUCGGGUGGCAAAGCCAUUCGGUGCCGCAGCAAACGCAAUAAGUAGUGACACCUGGGGAGUACGUUCGCAAGAAUGAAACUCAAAGGAAUUGACGGGGACCCGCACAAGCGGUGGAGCAUGUGGUGAUAAUUAGAAGCAACGCGAAGAACCUUACAUGCUCUUGACAUAAGGGUGACCGGACGGUAAUGGGUCCUUCCAUUGGGGGCAGGGGAGACAGGUGGUGCAUGGUUGUCGUCAGCUAGUGUCGAGAGAUGCUGGGUUAAGUCGCGCAACGAGCGCAACCCCUAUCUUUAGUAGCCAGCGGCCAGUCCGGGCACUGUAGAGAGACUGCCGGGGAUAACCCGGAGGAAGGUGGGGAUGACGUAGAAUCAUCAUGUCCUUUAUGAGCAGGGGUACACACGUGGUACAAUGGCGUA